AACAACUAGGCAGUUUUGAAAGACAAAGAACAAUUAUCAAUCCAGAUGCUCUUUCACAGCUAAAGUUGCUCAACAAGUCUCUGCCUCAGUCCAAAUGUGUGGAAAAUUGCCGGCCUGGAUUUUUCAAGAGGGCUCGGAAAGGAGAGCCAGUUUGCUGCUAUGACUGUGUUCCUUGUCCGGAAGGGACCAUCUCCACUCAGGAAGAUACUGAAAAAUGCACCAAGUGCCCAGAUGAUCAAUAUCCAACCGAGAGCAGAGUCCAAUGUAUCCCAAAAAGAAUAACCUUCCUCUCCUAUGAAGAACAUCUGGGCAUUAUCCUGGUGUCCAUUGCCCUACUCUUGUUCCUAUCCACAGGAUUCAUUUUAAUCAUAUUCAUUAAAUACCUUGAAACUCCCAUUGUCAAAGCCAA